AAACGUGUUAAACUUAGCUGUUAAAAGGGUUAAAUUAAGAGCUUAUCUACCUGGAGAAAGCAACUUUGCAAUAUUUAUGAUGCAGCAUUUUUACAGAUGUUUAUUUUUGGAUUAUUUUCGUUAGUCCUGAAAAUCUUCAGUACAAUUCGUAACGACAAAAUAUGAACACUGGGAAUUUUCCCUUUUCUAGGCAAUUUGGGUUAUUGGAAAAAAUGUAAACAAAGCUGCUGUUGAAACAACCUCUUUUUUUUUUUAAUUAUCAGGCAAACAAGAAGCAAGCAUCAGCAUGGGACAACUAAGAUCAAUGGAGGAGACAGAAACAGCUGGAUCAGGGCAAACAGGAAACACAUAAACACCAAAAUAUCAGUGGAGGAAGUAAAAUACAUCAGACACGGCAGGAUUUCUCAGUGAUCAGACGAUUGAUGAAAGAUGAAGGCAAAGACAAGACACUGGAGGCAACAUUAAGAAGGCAGGACACUUAGGACAAGACAUAGUAUGCAAGGAACAAAUGUAAGACAGAUUAAGAUCGAGAUAUUUUCUGAAAACCCAAAAGUAGGACGUGUAAGAUUUUUUUUUCGUGGACUAAAUGUUACGAUCGACUGUGUUUUCUUCACAGUUAAAUAGAACACGAAGGCUAUCUAUAAAAAGGAACUGGCCCGAAAAAUAAUUUACAGAUUCACAGUAGGAAAUGUGUUGUCAGCUUUGCUUUACAAAUUGUAAUUCAGUUUUAAUCACAUUGUCUUUAUUCACGAUGCGAGAGCUUGGUAGAUUGUGUGACUGACGCGUACGUGACUCUUGAGAAACAGUGCUGUUGCGUCACACCAGCAGCCGUUGAGAAUAUGUUAAUAAGGCCUUGUGCGGGAAUUUCAAUACACGGCAUUGCAACAGGAGAUUUAGCAAAUAGAGAUUGUAAAGUGCCUUUUGAUAUUUUGUUGGCUUGUUUAGACAAACGGCAAGGCAGCAGGGUACCAAAAGAAACUUUAUUUUCUGACUUAGCAGUUA